ensembl:lncRNA
AUAUCAUGUCUUUAGUGGAUCGUGGUUAGUAUCGUUUGUUUUCCAUGCCGCGAAUGUUCUCGUUUCCCGGUGAAGACCGCUUUUACUUUAAUCAUUGAGUUCAGUGCAAAGCUGAGCUGCGCGCCGUGUCGUCCCUCGCGCCAUUUACCCCGUCUCCGCCGUGCAACGCAGCCAGCAAAGUGACCUGAGCAUCUGGGGCUUCCCACUGCAGGGGAGGUGCACCAUGCUGCGCAGUCCCAGAGGUGAAGGCUGGCCCAGAAUUUUUUUUGGGGGGGGGGGCAACGAAGACAGCAGAGCUCCAGCCUGAGACCUACGGGGAGGUCUCAGCUGUGGAGCUCCCACCUGAGGUCAACAUGGCGACCUCAGAGCGACAGCUUGAGGCUGCUGAGGAGGCCGUCCCGCUGCCCUGCCCGGCCGAGGAGGCCGUCCUGCUGUCCAGCCCAACAGAAGAGGCUGUCCCGCUGCCCUACACAGCCGAGGAAGCUGUCCUGCUGUCCUGCCCAGCAGAGGAGGUCGUUCCGCUGCCCUGCACGGCUGAGGAAGCUGACCUGCUGUCCGGCCCAACAGAGGAGGCCGCCCAGUCCUCCAGUCCCACUGGGGACUCCGCCCAGCAUUCCAGAGCCGCAGGGGGCAGCGCCCUGCAUUUCUGAGCCGGCGCCCUGCAUUCCAGAGCCACCAGGGGCGGUGCCCUGCAUUCCACUUCCGACUUUCAACCCCGGUGGGGGUGUUGCUCCGCCCCUCUGCUGCCCGACAGAGGCUGCCUCGCUUUCCGUGGCAGCGAGAGACAGCUCGCACAGGGGCCCUGGGUCCCCGUUGGAGGGGGGUUCUUGGUUCUCCGGGAGGAGCACCCUUUGGAGGGGGGUUCUGUUACGCCACGGCCAGCAAAAGGCACUGGCCCAACUCCUGACAAGUCACGUGACAUUGUUUUUGUUCGCUUGCUUCCGGAUUGAGCAUUUUGUAUUAAGUGACUUUAAUUUGCCCCAGGUGUCCAUGCCCUGAGUUAAUCAUGUUCUUUAUUUAAAUGCCUGGGGGACUGAGCACUUCGCUCAGUAUUAUAUCAUGUCUUUAGUGGAUCGUGGUUAGUAUCAUUUGUUUUCCAUGCCGCGAAUGUUCUUGUUUCCCUGUGAAGACCGCUUUUACUUUAAUCAUUGAGUUUUGUGUCUAAUAAAGACGGUGACCUGCAUCUGCCUCCAGUCUACGUUUCGUAAUAAUAUGUGUGUGUGUGUGUAUAUAUAAUGUGUGUGUAUAUAUAG